UACGUAGGGUGCGAGCGUUGUCCGGAAUUAUUGGGCGUAAAGAGCUUGUAGGCGGUUUGUCACGUCUGCUGUGAAAAUCCGGGGCUUAACCCCGGGUCGGCAGUGGAUACGGGCAGGCUAGAGGUAGGUAGGGGAGAAUGGAAUUCCCGGUGUAGCGGUGAAAUGCGCAGAUAUCGGGAGGAACACCGGUGGCGAAGGCGGUUCUCUGGGCCUUACCUGACGCUGAGGAGCGAAAGCUAGGGGAGCGAACAGG
rnacentral:rRNA from 1 species